UACAGAGGGUGCGAGCGUUAAUCGGAAUUACUGGGCGUAAAGCGUGCGUAGACGGUUAUGUAAGUCGGGUGUGAAAGCCCCGGGCUCAACCUGGGAAUUGCGAUGGAGACUGCACGGCUAGAGUGUGUCAGAGGGGGGUAGAAUUCCACGUGUAGCAGUGAAAUGCGUAGAUAUGUGGAGGAACACCGAUGGCGAAGGCAGCCCCCUGGGAUAACACUGACGCUCAUGCACGAAAGCGUGGGGAGCAAACAGG
rnacentral:rRNA from 1 species